GACGAACGCUGGCGGCGUGCCUAAUACAUGCAAGUCGAACGCAGUGGGGACGGGUGCGUAACACGUGGGUAACCUCCCAUCAGACGGGAUAACACUUGGAAACAGGUGCUAAACCGCUACUGAUGGAUGGACCCGCUGUGCAUGAGAUAGUUGGUGCGGUAACGGCUCACCAAGGCCACGAUGCAUAGCCGACAUGAGAGGGUGAUCGGCCACACUGGGACGGAGACACGGCCCAGACUCCUACGGGAGGCAGCAGUAGGGAAUAUGGGGCAAUGGACGAAAGUCUGACCGAGCAACGCCGCGGGAGUGAAGAAGGUUUUCGGAUCGUAAAGCUCUGUUGUUGGAGAAGCGGUAUCUAACCAGAAAGCCACGGCUAACUACGUGCCAGCAGCCGCGGUAAUUC
rnacentral:rRNA from 1 species